GUUCCCUACGCCUUCGACAGACCAACCGGAAGUUGCCACCACCAUAGUGAUUGGUCGCGUUUUCUUUUUGUAAGUCCGAAUCUAUUCUACUCUCUAUAACUAAACGCAUAUGCUCGAUUGGACACGUAUAAAAAGUUUAUUAUUGUCACCGGAUUGAAACACCAGAUCCUGCCAUGUGUGUUUAUGCCCUACUAUUAAGUAGCCUUUGCCUUGCCACCAUUGUUCAAGCCCAGCAAUGUUCUACACCCAUUGGAGGACCAAACAUGAACUUAAAAGACGAAUACAUCAUCAAGAAUACAUUUGAGGAUGGGGCUGUGGUUUAUUUUAAAUGUAAUGUUGGCUACCAACCUGCUGGAGGAUCUGGAAAGAUCACAUGCACUGCUGGCUUGUGGAGUCCUGUGCUGCUGGAAUGCGAGAGUAAAUAUUUCCAUCUA